rnacentral:rRNA from 1 species
GACGGAAGGUGCGAGCGUUGCUCGGAAUCACUGGGCGUAAAGGGCUCGUAGGUGGCCAACUAAGUCAGACGUGAAAUCCCCAGGCUUAACCUGGGAACUGCGUCUGAUACUGGAUGGCUUGAGUUUGGGAGAGGGACGCGGAAUUCCAGGUGUAGCGGUGAAAUGCGUAGAUAUCUGGAGGAACACCGGUGGCGAAGGCGGCAUCCUGGACCGAGAUUGACGCUGAAAAGCGAAAGCCAGGGGAGCAAACGGG